UUUUUCUUUUUUUUUUUCCUUUUUUUUUUUCCUUCUCCUCCCCCACAACCCCUUUUUGUUUUUUGCAAAAAAUCAUGAGCGAAGAA
rnacentral:ribozyme from 13 species